AAUACCGGAUAAGGCGUGGCGGUCUUCGGACUGCUUCGCGAAAAGCCUCGCAAAGGGGGCACCAGAGGACGAGCCCGCGGCCCAUCAGCUAGUUGGUGAGGUAAUGGCUCACCAAGGCGAAGACGGGUAGCUGGUCUGAGAGGAUGAUCAGCCACACUGGAACUGAGACACGGUCCAGACUCCUACGGGAGGCAGCAGUGGGGAAUAUUGCGCAAUGGCGAAAGCCUGACGCAGCCACGCCGCGUGUGCGAUGAAGGUCUUCGGAUCGUAAAGCACUGUGGGGAGAGAAGAAUCAAGUCGGUGAAGAGCCGACCCUGACGGUAUCUCCUUAGCAAGCACCGGCUAACUCCGUGCCAGCAGCCGCGGUAA
rnacentral:rRNA from 1 species